rnacentral:rRNA from 1 species
GGCGCCGUGAGAUGUUGGGUUAAGUCCCGCAACGAGCGGAAACCUGUGGUUAUUUGCCAGCGGGUAAUGGGGGGAACCCUAAGGAAACUGCCGGUGACAAACCGGAGAAAGUUCUCUAAAAAACAUCAAAUCAUCAUGCCCCUUACGGGGGGGGCUACACACGUGCUACAAGGGCCUUUACAGGGGUUGGCAACCCGGAGAGGUGGACCUAAUCCCAAAAAGCUGCUCUCAUUCCGGAUUGGAGUCUGCACCUCCCCUCCCGUGAAAUCGGAAU